rnacentral:rRNA from 1 species
GACUACCUACGGGGGGCAGCAGUGGGGAAUAUUGCACAAUGGGGGAAACCCUGAUGCAGCGACGCCGCGUGAGUGAGGAAGUAUUUCGGUAUGUAAAGCUCUCUCAGCAGGGAAGAAGAUGACAGUACCUCAGGAGGAAGCUCCGGCUAACUAUGUGCCAGCAGCCGCGGUAAUACAUAGGGAGCAAGCGUUAUCCGGAAUUAUUGGGUGUAAAGGGUGCGUAGACGGGAAAUUAAGUUAGUUGUGAAAUCCCUUGGCUUAACUGAGGAACUGCAACUAAAACUGAUUUUCUUGAGUACUGGAGA